AUGGUCCUACGGGAGGCAGCAGUGGGGAAUAUUGCACAAUGGGGGAAACUCUGAUGCAGCAACGCCGCGUGAGUGAAGAAGUCAUUCGUGAUGUAAAGCUCUAUCAGCAGGGAAGAAAAUGACGGUACCUGAGUAAGAAGCCCCGGCUAACUACGUGCCAGCAGCCGCGGUAAUACGUAGGGGGCAAGCGUUAUCCGGAUUUACUGGGUGUAAAGGGAGCGUAGACGGCCAGACAAGUCUGAAGUGAAAAUCCAUCGCUUCACGUUGGCAGAGCUUUGGAAACUGCCGGGCUGGAGUGCAGGUGG
rnacentral:rRNA from 1 species